GACGAACGCUGGCGGCGUGCUUAACACAUGCAAGUCGAACGGAAAGGCCCUGCUUUUGUGGGGUGCUCGAGUGGCGAACGGGUGAGUAACACGUGAGUAACCUGCCCUUGACUUUGGGAUAACUUCAGGAAACUGGGGCUAAUACCGGAUAGGAGCUCCUGCUGCAUGGUGGGGGUUGGAAAGUUUCGGCGGUUGGGGAUGGACUCGCGGCUUAUCAGCUUGUUGGUGGGGUAGUGGCUUACCAAGGCUUUGACGGGUAGCCGGCCUGAGAGGGUGACCGGCCACAGUGGGACUGAGAUACGGCCCAGACUCCUACGGGAGGGAGGAGUGGGGAAUAGUGCACAAUGGGCGGAAGCCUGAUGCAGCAACGCCGCGUGCGGGAUGACGGCCUUCGGGUUGUACACCGCUUUCGCCUGUGAAGACGCGUGAGUGACGGUAAUGGGUAAAGAAGCACCGGAUAGCUACGU
rnacentral:rRNA from 1 species